GCGUUGUCCGGAAUUAUUGGGCGUAAAGAGCGUGUAGGCGGUUCGGUAAGUCUGUCGUGAAAUCCUGGGGCUCAACCCCGGGCGUGCGAUGGAUACUGCCGGGCUAGAGGGUGGUAGAGGCGAGUGGAAUUCCCGGUGUAGCGGUGAAAUGCGCAGAUAUCGGGAGGAACACCAGUAGCGAAGGCGGCUCGCUGGGCCACACCUGACGCUGAGACGCGAAAGCUAG
rnacentral:rRNA from 1 species